CCUACGGGGGUCAGCAGUGAGGAAUAUUGGUCAAUGGACGAGAGUCUGAACCAGCCAAGUAGCGUGAAGGAUGACUGCCCUAUGGGUUGUAAACUUCUUUUAUAUGGGAAUAAAACGUUCAACGUGUGGGAUUUUGUAUGUACCAUAUGAAUAAGGAUCGGCUAACUACGUGCCAGCAGCCUCGGUAAUACGGAGGAUCCGAGCGUUAUCCGGAUUUAUUGGGUUUAAAGGGAGCGUAGGUGGAUUGUUAAGUCAGUUGUGAAAGUUUGCGGCUCAACCGUAAAAUUGCAGUUGAAACUGGCAGUCUUGAGUACAGUAGAGGUGGGCGGAAUUCGUGGUGUAGCGGUGAAAUGCUUAGAUAUCACGAAGAACUCCGAUUGCGAAGGCAGUUCACUGGACUGCAACUGACACUGAGGCUCGAAAGUGUGGGUAUCAAACAGGAUUAGAUACCCCAGUAGUC
rnacentral:rRNA from 1 species